rnacentral:lncRNA from 1 species
GGGUAUAAAUAUGAUCGUUAUCUUUGAUUUUUACAUUUUUCUAUGAUUCAUGAUUAUCAGUUGUAUUGUAUUCUCUUAUGUUAAUUUAUCAUAUAUAUAUACAAUAUAUAUGAAAGCUAUCAUUUUAUGUAGUAUGAAAACAUUCAUAUGUUUACAUACGGUAUAGAGAAAAUGACUAGCAUAGCACUAAAAAAGUUUUUGUCAUAAAUAUAGUUUCUAAAAAUAAAAAAGACGAAAAUAACACUUAAUGGUUUAUCAAAAGAGAUAAAUAUACACUUAUACUCCAAUGGUAAAUUAAUUUAUACAUUAGGGUUUAGAGUUAAGGGGUGGGGUUUAGGAUUUAGGGUUUAGGAUUUAGGGUUUAGGGUUUAGGGUUUAGAGUUUAGGGUUUAGAGUUGGGAAGUGGGGUUUAGGGUUUAGAGUUAAGAGGUGGGGCUUAGAAUUUAGGGUUUAGAGGUUUAGAGUUUAGAGUUUAGGGUUUAGGGUUUAGAGUUUAGGUUUUAGGGUUUAGAGUUGGGGAAUGGGGUUUUGGGAUAAGAUUUCAAAUUUUGAAAAAUAAAUUUUUUUUUCAAAAGAUAAAAUGUUAUUUUGGUCAUUUUAGUUUUUGAGGGCUAUUUUUGUGACAUAAACUCAAAAAUGUGCUAUUUUGGAGAUUUGCCCUGCAGUAUAUAUAUAUGUAAUAUAUCAUUUUGCAUGUUUAUAUGUCGUAUUAAGACAAUUAUAUAUAACUUGGUGGGAAGAAAUAGAAUUUUACCUAAUACAUUUAUAAUAAUGAAAUUAAGAUCAUUAAAUUACUUUUAUGAUAAU